CCUACGGGAGGCUGCAGUGAGGAAUAUUGGUCAAUGGACGAGAGUCUGAACCAGCCAAGUAGCGUGAAGGAUGACUGCCCUAUGGGUUGUAAACUUCUUUUAUAUGGGAGUAAAAUGUUCCACGUGUGGGGUUUUGUAUGUACCAUAUGAAUAAGGAUCGGCUAACUCCGUGCCAGCAGCCGCGGUAAUACGGAGGAUCCGAGCGUUAUCCGGAUUUAUUGGGUUUAAAGGGAGCGUAGGUGGAUUGUUAAGUCAGAUGUGAAAGUUUGCGGCUCAACCGUAACAUUGCAGUUGAAACUGGCAGUCUAGAGUACAGUAGAGGUGGGCGGAAUUCGUGGUGUAGCGGUGAAAUGCUUAGAUAUCACGAAGAACUCCGAUUGCGAAGGCAGCUCACUGGACUGCAACUGACACUGAGGCUCGAAAGUGUGGGUAUCAAACAGGAUUAGAUACCCCGGUAGUC
rnacentral:rRNA from 1 species